GCCACAUGAUGUAUUUUGAUAAGUCAGUAGCACUUUGUGUGAUGGUGACUUUUAUCUAUCACCCAAUAACUGAUGGCU
rfam:Xenopus laevis strain J chromosome 8L, whole genome shotgun sequence.